rnacentral:lncRNA from 1 species
CGUAAAAAUUUAAGCCAUGGCGGCAUAAUUGACAUGUGUGUUAGAGGCUAAUAAACCUCCCAUUGCAACCACAUAGGGGGCAUGUGAAGACGGUUUUGAUUUGGUAAGGGGCCAGGUACAAUAUCUGGUUUUGUAGGUUAGGAGGUGAAAUAGAUCAUGUGUAUUGAAGACCAUAUUGAUAGACCAGGUUUCUUUUAUGUCGGCUUUGGGAUCAGAAAAAAAGAAGAGUAUUGAAUAGUUGUUAAUAAUCGGUUUUGUUGUCAUUUUGGAAAAUCUUUUUACUAAUAUCAUAGGAGAACCCCGUCUUACUAUAUAGAAAAAAUAAACAAUACAAAUAUCUUGAAAAGUGAGGAAGCACAGAAAAUAAUCAAAAACUGAUUGAAGAACGUAAUAACAGAUCAAAAACUGACUGAUGAAAAGCGUAGGAAGACUGAGAUAUCAAAAACUGUUGUCAUAUACUCUGAGAAAGGAAAAGAAACGAGUCUUUAUUUACAGUGACCAGCGAUGAAGAGUUGGCCGUGCAUUUCUUGUGCAAUGGGCGGCAGGAUGCCGACGCAAGUAGUCACACACUGGGGCUUCACAAGCCCAUUCACUAUGGCUGGAAUGGCAAUGAUGUCUUGUUCAGCUCUACAGCUACACCGGCGAUCUUAAGGGAAACCCAACGAAGAGGUGUGCUGGAUCACGGUGGAUUCUACCAAAGCCCCUUUGUGAGAGUGUUACCGCCUUCCUAGCAGCACUCUCCUCUAAAUCAAACCACCUGACGGUGGCUCUGGUUAGUGUAUGUCUGAACCAUGAACCACCAGGAACAAGGUAUUGCUUCUGCAAUCCAUGCUCUAAUGGUUAGUGGGGCUGUGCGUGUCCCGAUGCAUCCCAUGCCCAUUGCCCCGGCCACACGAUUGUCACGGAAGCACAGAAGGAUCGAUGACAUGCAUUGCUCUCUUCUUGGCGUUCUAUUUCUAUAUAUAUGGACCUAGUUAAUUAGUUAGCUAGUUUGCUAUCAUUUAGAAGUUGGGACCAGGAAGAAGAGGAGUGCGUGGAUGGCCCCCAAGCUUCCCGAUCAAAUAAAGUUUACCUAUACUACGACGUAGAGGCUAAAACUGCGAUCCCAUUGGGCUCAAAAUGACUUUGUAGCUAUCUAAAGUUGAAACGAAGAUGGCCGCAGGGACCAGGGAGAGCUGAAGAGAAUAUAUAAGGACGGCAAGUAGAGGAAUGAGUGCACGCAUGAAAGACGGAGUGGCAGCUAGUCUGCUGGCAGGUGAGAAUUGUACACACGUAAUAAUACUACAAAUUAUAAAGUUGAGAAUCUGAGAUUAGGUGCAAGUAUACUAGUUGCAUUGCUAGUUCUGCUCCGCGCAAAGCAAAUUAAAUUAAACAAGUUAAGAAAAAGGCAAAAGUACUGCAAUGCGCAGGUGGUACCAACACUAGACAGCAAAC